UACAGAGGUCCCAAGCGUUGUUCGGAUUCACUGGGCGUAAAGGGUGCGUAGGCGGUCGGGUAAGUCUGAUGUGAAAUCUCACAGCUUAACUGUGAAACUGCAUUGGAUACUAUCCGGCUCGAGGAAUGGAGGGGAGACUGGAAUACUUGGUGUAGCAGUGAAAUGCGUAGAUAUCAGGAGGAACACCGGUGGUGUAGACGGCUCUCUGGACCGUAACUGACGCUGAGACACGAAAGCGUGGGUAGCAAACAGG
rnacentral:rRNA from 1 species